UCGAUCAAUCGAAUUUCCCCUUCUUUCUUUACUUUCGCAUUUUUCUAUCUGUCUUGCAAGAGCAACCAAAAAAUGGUGCGAACGGUAAAGCGGGAAUUGAUAGACAAUCGAGGAAAUUGUAGUAGGAUCACCAGAACCAAUGCACGGGAAGUAAACGAAGCAUCAGGUGUCAAUGAGGAUUGCGAUUCUGGGGAAGCCGAAGACUGUACUUUCCGACGCAGAGUGCUACGGUCGAAAUACCUCACCGUUAAGAAUCGGAUUAGCGGUAAUUUGAUUUCCC
rnacentral:lncRNA from 1 species